UGUUGAUUUAAAGCAGAGUCUGUCGUGGCCAGCGGAAGGAUGAGGAAAAUGUGCUGCAUACUCCUUAUUGCUUUAUUUACAGUUCAAAGCUGGUAUAUUACAGAAAGACAUCUUGCCUCUGCAAGAGCAGAAAAAUGCAUCCUCUCUCCUCGACAGCUUGGAGAGAAACACACAGUGAAAAAAACAGGAAACCAGUGUACGUCACAUCCAGUCUCCCUUUCCCGUGAGAAACUCCAACAGUACAGACUGUGGAAUGCAAAACAAUGUCUUGUGACUGCAGUUGCUGCUCAGUGAGGGAAAUAGAAACCAACAUCCUCCCCUUUCUGUGAACAUCACUGGGCAGCGUGUUCGUACAAUAUCAGUACAAACCCAACUUCUGCACAUAGGUACAGUGUUGAUCCCUUGAUACAAUCUUGGACAAUACAUCAGCAGGAAUUUCAUUACCUGGCAUAUAGGACACCGUUACGAGUCCCUUCUGAAUACAUUCCCUAGCAUGCUGCAACUUUAAUUGUAAGUGCUUUGUGCUUUGCUUACAACCUUCAGACUUCAGCAAAGCCAAACAUGCUUUGUUGUCCUGGUAAACCUGGAUUGGACAUUUGACAGGAAUUUUCAUAUCUUUGCACAAUUGUACUAACCAUUCACAAUCCUUAAGUGAAUAAGACAGUGCAUUCAGUUCAGCUUCACAAGUACUUAAGCUAACUGUUGUUUGCUUCUUGCAUGACCAAUCAAACAGACUCUGAUUGUACAUGUAGCAAACUCCAGACGUACUUUUCCUGUCUGUAGUGUCACUUCCAAAACUUGCAUCUGCAAAUAUCUCAAGACCACCAGACUUCUGAUUGUUAAAUCUCAGUCUGUAAUGCAUAGUGCCUUUCAAAUACCGCGCUAUGCGUUUCAGAGCUUUCCAAUCCUUGACACUAGGAUUGUUGACUUGUCUGCUUAGCAAAUUACAGCUAACAGCAAUGUCUGGUCUUGAACAUCUGGCAAUGAAGUUUAGCUUGCCUAGCACACUCCUGUACAGUGUAGUGUCAGAAAAUGCUUCUUCAGUGUCAUCUACCUGAUAACCUGUUGUCAUCGGUGUGUCUACAGGGUUAGCAUCCAUCAGAUUUAGUUUGCUUAACACAUCAGCAAUUUUCCGUGACUGGUGUACUAGAAUGUUACCAUCUUGAUCUCUCUCUAUUUCCAGAGAUAGGUAGUUGUUUACCUCACCAAGAUCUUUCAUGUCAAAGUGCUCUUUCAGUUGAGCUAGGGCGCUAUUGUACAUUGCAACAUCUUUCCAAAAGAAUAAUAAAUCAUCAACAUAAAACAAACAGUACAGUUUCUUUUGCCCCUCCUCUUUGACAAAUACACAUGGAUCAGCUUUCCCUUGCUGAAAACCUAGAGAAAACAAUACUUCAGUGAGUUUUGUGUGCCAACACCGUGCACUUUGUUUGAGACCAUAAAGGGAUUUCUUCAGAGCACAAACAAAUCCCUGUUUUACCUGUACGCCAUCAGGUGGAAGCAUAUAAAGUGAUUCAUCUAGAGAUCCGUACAGAAAAGCUGUAUUAAUAUCAUGGUGACUAAUGUGUAGAUUUUCCUCUGCAGCUAGCUUGAGCAUAAGCCUAAUGCUUUCAUAUCUCACUGUGGGUGAAUAGGUCUCGUGAUAGUCUUCACCUGGUACCUGUGCAAAACCUCUGGCUACCAAUCUGGCUUUGUGUCUGACUAUCUUGCCAUUUUGAUCUGUCUUCGCUUUGAAGACCCAUUUGCUUCCAAGCAGUUUCAUUCCUGGAACUACUGGAACUAGCUCCCAUGUUUUGUUCCUUUCUAAGGAAUCAAGCUCAGCCUUCAUGGCAUUUAACCAUGGCUCAGCUUCCUUUGAAUCCAAACCCUGGAUUUCUUGGAAACUUGAAGGUUCAAAUACCUUCUUGGAGCUUUUAACAGCUGUUACUGCUAUCUUAGCAAACUCAUCAGCAAAUCUCUUUGGAGGUUUGCCUUUUGUGGCUCUCUGUGACCUACGAAUCAGCCUUAAGUCUUCAACACUCUCCUCUUCCUUCUUAGGAGAAAAACGACCUAUUGUGAACAAUGGUUCCUCCAAUUCUUGAUCAGAGCUUUCAGAGGGUCGCAUAGAGGCUUUCGCACUCUCGAAAUCCUCUGAAUCACCCGAUUCAGUUUCAGAUUCAGACUCAGAACCUUCAUCAGUGGGUGUGGGCUGUUGUGGUUGCUUUUGACUAUCCUCAGUCUCAUCACCGUCAUCAGGAUAACAUUGGAAAAUUCCCACAUUCUCCCCCACUUUGCAUUGUACUCAACACUUCUCGUGAGCUUAAUUGUCUUAGAGUCAGUCAUCAUUAUUCUGUAAGACCCUUUCUGAUAACCUAGAAAGAUACCAUGCAAUCCACGCUUGUCUAACUUGGAGUUUUGUGGUGAGCGAACCCACAUGUCAGAACCAAAAAUCUUCAUGUGUUUGAUGUAUGGCUUCUUGCCAAACAUCUUCUCAUAGAGGUACAACCAAUCGCUGAAGAUAGCCUGCGAUUGUAACUGUAAACAAAACACGAGAGAGAUUCGGCCCAAUAACUCUCUGGAAGAUUGGCAUCAUGCAGCAAGGUUUUUAAACCUUGAAGCAAUGUCUGAUUUGCCCGUUCCGCAAGUCCAUUCUGCCAUGGCGAGCGAGGACUAGACAAAUCGUGUUGAAUUCCUUUCUCAGUCAGAAAAGCUUCAAACUGCUGAGAAGUGAAUUCCCCCCCGCGAUCACUGAAAAGAGUCUUUAUCUUCUUACCAUGCACAUUUUCCAACCAAGCACAGAAUUCCUUGAACCUAGGAAAAGCCUCCGAUUUCUGCUUGAGAUUGUACACAAAAAUAUAUCUAGAAAAUGCAUCAAUGAGAACCAUGAAGUAUCUAUUUCCACCCAAAGAGGGCGAUAGUGGUCCAACCAAAUCAGCAUGAACAACCUGGUAUGGUUCUGUAGCUUUCCUACUAGACACCUUACCUUUCGCAGCCAUUUUCACCUUGUUUGCUGCGCAUGCUUUGCACUUCAUGUGGUACCUGCAGGGUUUAAUAGUCAUACCUUCAACCAAGGCAGGCAUUUUAGAUACUGCCUCAAAAUGCAAAUGAGCAAAUUUUCGAUGAAAAUCGUGAAUACAUUCUGCAUGCAAACUUUUGUUAGAACCUGCAAUGCAACAAGUGUCAUCCUGCACCACAUCAUCAUAAUACAAAACAAACAAACGAUCAACAUAUUCUGCAUGCAAUACAUAAUCAUUUUUCUUUGUGAUGAUGCACUUCUUGUUCUUGAAGGAAACGUCAAUGUUCCGCUCAUUCAGCUGUCCAACGCUGAGCAGAUUAUGUUUGGCGUCUGGCACGUAAAGCACAUUCUGUAUCGAUAAGUCCAAACUGUGAAGAACAACAGUUCCGUAGCCUUUACUGGGAAUAGUGUGGUCAUCCGCCUGGUGAAUCGCACCUUCCUGCGGUGUAAAAGACACAAACAGUUUCUUAUCGUUGCACAUGUGGUGGGUGGCCGCUGAAUCAACAACGAAGAAAGAUCUAGACGUCUUCUGGACCUCUGCAACCUUUGGAGUGAAGCGUGAAACCAUAGCCUUGUGCUGCGUUGUCCUAGACACCGGACCUUUGCCUUUGCCUCGGCCUUUUCCGCGCGAUGAGCUUUCGCUGCGCUGCUCUGUCUUGGCCCUGGGAUGUCUGCAUUCCCUCUUCAUAUGGCCUAGACGUCCACACGAGUAGCAUUUCACUGCCUUCAAAGCUUUGGCGCCAUCUGGUGGUUCCACUGCACUAUGGGAUGACGUCUGUGAAGACUCUCCCUUGCCCAUGCAGCCAGCACCCCGGCGAUCUGCUUCAUUUAAAAUCACGGCAGUAACAAAGUCCACUGUCAGCUGAGCAGUUGGUUGCACAGCAAUCUGGGUUGCAACAGACUCCCAACCUGAACCCAAAGAUUGUAGUAUCAUGAAAGAAUACACAGCCUCUGGAAAGUUGAGUCCUCUCUGUUGCAGCUCAUGUCUCAGAUUUUGCAUCUGCAUCAGAUGUAAACGCACAUCUCCACCUUCAGCAAGAGCCAUAUUGUGCAGCUUGUUAAAAUAAAACAUAGUGGAUCCAGCUUCUGUCCUUAAGUGAGCCUCUCUCAGAGCGUCCCAAAUUUCUCUGGCUGAGGUCUUAUCACGCAAUAGACAGAGCUCUUCUGGGGAUACUAUCAAUGUAAGAGUUCCCCUUGCUUUGGAAUCCUUAGCUUCCCAUGCAUCUGUAACUGGAACUGGGGGGGUUUCUGUAAUCACCUCAAACAAAUCCUCUUUCCGCAGAAUUGCCUCUGCAUACUGAACCCAGUCGCUGUAAUUUUUCUUGUUGAGCUUAGGAAUCCCACAAGCAUCCUGAAGGGCCAUCAUGACUCUGGCAUUAGCCUUCAGCGUCAUAUGCUGCUUUAAAUCUUGCUGCGUCACUGCUGCAGCUGCCUCAUUACAAAGGCACACUUAAAAGUUACUUUCGAUUUCCCCAGCAUAGUGACUUGUGCCUGGGAGCCUUUUGCCUAUUCCUGCAAAACCGGCUUUAAAAGUUCAAAGUCCAGCCAUAAAGCCAUUAUCUUGAAGCUGGCAGGCUGCCCGGAGCAGUAGCACAUACCUCAUCAAUCACUUCUACGCGCAGAGCAGAUUCCUUUCCGAUCCGUCCCUCUGCAUUCCGAUCCUUUGCCGGCACUCCGAUUCGACUCCUGGAGUCCAUAACCACGUGUUGAUUUAAAGCAGAGUCUGUCGUGGCCAGCGGAAGGAUGAGGAAAAUGUGCUGCAUACUCCAUAUAGCUUUAUUUACAGUUCAAAGCUGGUAUAUUACAGAAAGACAUCUUGCCUCUGCAAGAGCAGAAAAAUGCAUCCUCUCUCCUCGACAGCUUGGAGAGAAACACACAGUGAAAAAACAGGAAACCAGUGUACGUCACAUCCAGUCUCCCUUUCCCGUGAGAAACUCCAACAGUACAGACUGUGGAAUGCAAAACAAUGUCUUGUGACUGCAGUUGCUGCUCAGUGAGGGAAAUAGAAACCAACA
rnacentral:lncRNA from 1 species